GUCAGAGGUGAAAUUCUUGGAUUUGCGGAAGACUAACUACUGCGAAAGCAUUCGCCAAGGAUGUUUUCAUUAAUCAGGGAACGAAAGUUAGGGGAUCGAAGACGAUCA
rnacentral:rRNA from 1 species